GGCCUUAUGGUCUAGUCGCAUGAUUCUUCCUUUGGGGAGCUACUACAGCUUACGUAAUUGGAAGAGGUCCUGGGUUCAAUUCCCAGUGAGGCCC
rnacentral:tRNA from 1 species